rnacentral:rRNA from 1 species
CCCUUAGAUGUUCUGGGCCGCACGCGCGCUACACUGAUGACUUCAACGAGUUUUUGUUAUUUUUAGCAAUGUCCUUGGCAGGAAUGCCUGGGUAAUCUUUUAAAUGGUCAUCGUGAUGGGGCUAGAUUCUUGCAAUUAUUAAUCUCCAACGAGGAAUUCCUAGUAAACGCAAGUCAUCAACUUGCAUUGAUUACGUCCCUGCCCUUUGUACACACCGCCCGUCGCUACUACCGAUUGAAUGGCUUAGUGAGGCCUCCGGAUUGGCUUUGGGGAGCCGGCAACGGCACCUCAUGGCUGAGAAGUUGGUCAAACUUGGUCAUUUAGAGGAAGUAAAAGUCGUAACA